rnacentral:misc_RNA from 1 species
AAGUCGUAACAAGGUUUCCGUAGGUGAACCUGCGGAAGGAUCAUUAACACGUAUCCAACGUUAAACAACCCCGUGAACCUUCAGCCUGCUCUCGUAGCCCACGCGGCAACAGCAAUCCCGGUAAAUCAUUGACGACCAGUUUUGAUUCGGGACCUCUGUUACGAUGUGAGAAGUUACAGUUACGAUCGAGCGGUAGCUGGCUGCGCAAGGAUAACGCCUCACGGUUGCUAGAGGUCGAUCACCGACCGGCAGACAUGUCACAGGGUCCCCAUGCCCCUUACCUCACCCCAUUACUAAUGACUAGCUUAGCGGUAACGCGCUGAGUAAAAAAAAACCGAACAACUGUUAACAAUGGAUAUCUUGGUUCUC